GAAGCACGCCAGGCCGUCGCUGGUGCAAUCGCCGAAAGGCCGCACUGGAGGAACGUCCGGACUGCACAGGGCAGCGUAGCAGGUAACACCUGUCCACCGUGAGGUGAGGAUCAGAGCAACAGAGACGAGUCCCGGACCGAGCGCAAGCGAGGCGAGGGGGUGAAACGGGCAAUCUCUACGCGCAGCAAUACCAAAUAGGCCAGCGUCGAUGUGGUCCCGCGGAGCUGGCGGGUAGGUAGCACCGAGCUGGUGGGGCGACCCCCGGCCCAGAUGAAUGACGGUCACGCGUGGGAAACCACGUGCACAAAAUCCGGCGUAUCGGCGGGCUUCACAC
rnacentral:RNase_P_RNA from 1 species